GACGAACCGUGCAAACGUUGUUCGGAAUCACUGGGCUUAAAGGGCGCGUAGGCGGGUCUCCAAGUCGGUGGUGAAAUCUUUCAGCUCAACUGGAAAAGUGCCGCCGAUACUGGAAAUCUCGAGGGAGGUAGGGGUCGAUGGAACUAAUGGUGGAGCGGUGAAGUGCGUAGAUAUCAUUAGGAACGCCGGUGGCGAAAGCGAUCGACUGGCCCUCUUCUGACGCUGAGGAGCGAAAGCCAGGGGAGCAAACGGG
rnacentral:rRNA from 1 species